rnacentral:rRNA from 1 species
CGUUAGCGGCGGACGGGUGAGUAACACGUGGGUAACCUACCUAUAAGACCGGGAUAACUUCGGGAAACCGGAGCUAAUACCGGAUAAUAUAUUGAACCGCAUGGUUCAAUAGUGAAAGACGGUUUUGCUGUCACUUAUAGAUGGAUCCGCGCCGCAUUAGCUAGUUGGUAAGGUAACGGCUUACCAAGGCAACGAUGCGUAGCCGACCUGAGAGGGUGAUCGGCCACACUGGAACUGAGACACGGUCCAGACUCCUACGGGAGGCAGCAGCC